rnacentral:rRNA from 1 species
CGACUGGCGGCAUGCUUUACACAUGCAAGUCGAACGGCAGCACGGGUGCUUGCACCUGGUGGCGAGUGGCGGACGGGUGAGUAAUACAUCGGAACGUAUCCAGAAGAGGGGGAUAACGCAUCGAAAGAUGUGCUAAUACCGCAUAUUCUCUGAGGAGGAAAGCAGGGGAUCGAAAGACCUUGCGCUUUGGGAGCGGUCCGAUGUCUGAUUAGCUAGUUGGUGGGGUAAAGGCCUACCAAGGCGACGAUCAGUAGUUGGUCUGAGAGGACGACCAGCCACACUGGGACUGAGACACGGCCCAGACUCCUACGGGAGGCAGCAGUGGGGAAUUUUUGGACAAUGGGCGCAAGCCUGAUCCAGCAAUGCCGCGUGAGUGAAGAAGGCCUUCGGGUUGUAAAGCUCUUUCAGUCGAGAAGAAAAAGCUGCAGUGAAUAACUGUAGUUCAUGACGGUAUCGACAGAAGAAGCACCGGCUAACUACGUG